rnacentral:lncRNA from 1 species
GUGUGAAAAUGUGCCACGAACUGUUGACUUAGUUGGUCAGAGGGGCUAAUGCUCCUUGAACGGAGUCCUAAGUACCAAACUCGGGCUGCCUUUCGAAGUGUCACCAGAAAGACCAUACAUAGUAGGGCAUCGAUCAUCUCCUAAAUCAUCAUGAGAGCUUUGUAGCUCUCUAGGUGGUCGAUGUGGUCGGUGGAGCCAUCAUAUGGCUUCAUCUGGGGCAUCUUCAAACGAGCUAGAAUGGGUU